rnacentral:rRNA from 1 species
UACGGAGGGUGCAAGCGUUAAUCGGAAUUACUGGGCGUAAAGCGCACGCAGGCGGUCUGUCAAGUCGGAUGUGAAAUCCCCGGGCUCAACCUGGGAACUGCAUCCGAAACUGGCAGGCUAGAGUCUUGUAGAGGGGGGUAGAAUUCCAGGUGUAGCGGUGAAAUGCGUAGAGAUCUGGAGGAAGACCGGUGGCGAAGGCGGCCCCCUGGACAAAGACUGACGCUCAGGUGCGAAAGCGUGGGGCGCAAUCAGGAUUAGGUACCCUGGUAUUCCACGCCGUAAACGAUGUCGACUUGGAGGUUGUGCCCUUGAGGCGUGGCUUCCGGAGCUAACGCGUUAAGUCGACCGCCUGGGGAGUACGGCCGCAAGGUUAAA